rnacentral:rRNA from 1 species
UGGGGAAUUUUGGACAAUGGGCGAAAGCCUGAUCCAGCAAUGCCGCGUGUGUGAAGAAGGCCUUCGGGUUGUAAAGCACUUUUGCUCCGGAAAGAAAUCCUUGGCUCUAAUACAGUCGGGGGAUGACGGUACCGGAAGAAUAAGCACCGGCUAACUACGUGCCAGCAGCCGCGGUAAUACGUAGGGUGCAAGCGUUAAUCGGAAUUACUGGGCGUAAAGCGUGCGCAGGCGGUUUGCUAAGACCGAUGUGAAAUCCCCGGGGCUCAACCUGGGAACUGCAUUGGUGACUGGCAGGCUAGAGUAUGGCAGAGGUGGGGUAGAAUUUCCACGUGUAGCAGUGAAAUGCGUAGAGAUGUGGAGGAAUACCGAUGGCGAAGGCAGCCCCCUGGGGCCAAUACUGACGCUCAUGCACGAAAGCGUGGGGAGCAAACAGGAUUAGAUACCCUGGUAGUCCACGCCCUAAACGAUGUCAACUAGUUGUUGGGGGAUUCAUUUCCUUAGUAACGUAGCUAACGCGUGAAGUUGACCGCCUGGGGGAGUACGGUCGCAAGAUUAAAACUC